CCAAGGAGUCUAACAUGUACGCGAGUCAUUGGGAAUUUUUCAAAUCCUAAAGGCGUAAUGAAAGUGAAGAUUGUCCUUAGCGUCGAUCUAGGGAGGAUGGCCGGCUUUAUGAAGCCGGCUCGCACUCCUGGGGCAUCUCAUGCUCUAUUACGAGCAGAGGUGCACCUAGAGCGUACACGUUGGGACCCGAAAGAUGGUGAACUAUGCCUGGUCAGGACGAAGUCAGGGGAAACCCUGAUGGAGGUCCGUAGCGAUUCUGACGUGCAAAUCGAUCGUCGGAACUGGGUAUAGGGGCGAAAGACUAAUC
rnacentral:rRNA from 1 species